AUUGAUUCUAACGGGUGUUUCACUUUAUUGUGGAACUGAGAUCAUACCGUUCUAACUCGAUCAAGAUAAUGCUUGCGUGAGGACCUGAAUACUUUGUUUCU
rnacentral:ncRNA from 2 species